AGCUCCAAUAGCGUAUAUUAAAGUUGCUGCAGUUAAAAAGCUCGUAGUUGGAUCUGGGGCGAGUCUCGGCGCUCUACCCUCUUUGUGGUAGUGGUGCCUGUUUAGAUUCGGUCUACCAGCCGUGUCCGUCCCUGGUGCUCUUAGUUGAGUGUCUCGGACGAGACGGACAGUUUACUUUGAAAAAAUUAGAGUGUUCAAAGCAGGCUUCAACGCCUGAAUAUCUCAGCAUGGAAUAAUGGAAUAGGACAUCGGUUCUAUUUUGUUGGUUUUCGGAACUCGAUGUAAUGAUUAAGAGGGACAGACGGGGGCAUUCGUAUUGCGCCGCUAGAGGUGAAAUUCUUGGAUCGGCGCAAGACGAACAACUGCGAAAGCAUUUGCCAAGAAUGUUUUCAUUAAUCAA
rnacentral:rRNA from 1 species